rnacentral:tRNA from 1 species
GUGCGUGUAGUUCAGUUGGUUAGAGCGUCAGAUUGUGGUUCUGAAUGUCGUGGGUUCGAGCCCCACCCCGCACCCCA